CUUGCUUCACGAAUUCAUUAGUUGAUCAGGUUCGAUCGCAUUGUCUCAGGAACCUACCCCUACAGGUUGCCAGUUUGGUGGGAAACCUCUGAGUCCUGGAAUUUAAUGUAAUCCAACUUAGGCCUUUAAAGUUGUAAGAGGGCUUUUGGUAUAUUUCAAAAAUAAAAGUAAAGCCAUAUUUCAUUCAAUUCAAAAUAAAUUAUAUUAUCUGGUAUGAUGGAAUAAUUUAUUUUGGAGUAAGAAGAGUUAGAAGUCAAGCUCUGAUCAUGUAUUUUGGAGUAAUUUAUCUUGUAUCCUGAUUAAUUUAAUGGUUGCAUAACAAUUCACUUGUAAAUCAUAAAAGAUUUACACAACAAUUCACUUGUAGAGGCAUGUGGCUGAAGUUCAUGAAAUAUAUGACUGAUAUCAUUUCUAGCUCUUCUUUAUAACGAACCUAGCAUGCCUCUCUUGAAUAUAAAUACACAAGGCUUUAAUCUGAUAUCAUCUCUAAAAUGAAAACUUGGUGCCCAUGAGAUAUUGCUGUUCCGAAAAAACAGAAGGUAAAAGAAAAGGCAAACCUAACUUACAUCAUCUGGAGGCCAAGCUUUGGCAGCAUGGAUGAUAGAUUGAGAAGCGUAACAAAAAGUGCAAAGGAAAAUUCUAGGAACAACAACAAAGAAUCCUUUAUGCAUCGUCAGCAUGGGAUGAUAAACUUCUAGACAAUAUUCUAGAGUUAAGCUUGGAGAAUGGAGAGAAGUGAGAUUCAAGAUUACCAAAAUAAAAUUGACAACAUUGUUUACUGACUGGUUCUUCUACGGCGUCGGUAUCUCUAUAUAAUAUGACUUGAGAACAAUGAAUUACGUGCUUUAAUUUUCAUGAAAUGAGAAAAAAAAAGGAAGAAGAAGAACUGGAGAUUCCCACGUAAAACCAAAUUAAGGUGUAAACUUUUGGGGCGAUGGAAGCAAGCUCGGCGAUCAAGUGAAUCUUGAAAGGUUUGCGCUCCAAAUUUCUUUUGUGAAAAUCCG
rnacentral:lncRNA from 1 species